rnacentral:rRNA from 1 species
CGUGUGUCGAUGAAGAGCGCAGCCAACUGUGUGAAUUAAUGUGAACUGCAUACUGCUUUGAACAUCGACAUCUUGAACGCAUAUUGCGGCCACGGGUUAGCCMGUGGCCACGCCUGUCCGAGGGUCGGCUUAUAAACUAUCACGACGCCCUACAAGUCGUGGCUUGGGUCUUGCCAGCUGGCGUGAUUUCCCUAUACUUGGCUAUUUUGCUGGGUUCGGGUGCCAGAUCUAUGGCGUCUCCCUAAUGUAUCCGGGCACAUCCGCAUCUUUGUAUUAAAAGGGUGAGGGCGUGGCGACGGAGUCGUGGCUCAAUUGUAUAUAACACGCUCCGAAUCGUAGUGGUCCCAAUUCCUAUGAUGUGAUGUUGUCUGUCACCGAGUGCAGCCCAAUGGGUGCAUUCUAUUCCUGACCUCGGAUCAGACGUGAGUACCCGCUGAACUUAAGCAUAUCACUAAGCGG